rnacentral:rRNA from 1 species
GACGAACGCUGGCGGCGUGCUUAACACAUGCAAGUCGAACGCUGAAGCUCAGCUUUUGUUGGGUGGAUGAGUGGCGAACGGGUGAGUAACACGUGAGUAACCUGCCUCCUUCUUUGGGAUAACGCCCGGAAACGGGUGCUAAUACUGGAUAUUCACUGGUCUUCGCAUGGGGGUUGGUGGAAAGGGUUUCUCUGGUGGGGGAUGGGCUCGCGGCCUAUCAGCUUGUUGGUGGGGUGAUGGCCUACCAAGGCUUUGACGGGUAGCCGGCCUGAGAGGGUGACCGGUCACAUUGGGACUGAGAUACGGCCCAGACUCCGACGGGAGGCAGCAGUGGGGAAUAUUGCACAAUGGGCGCAAGCCUGAUGCAGCGACGCCGCGUGAGGGAUGGAGGCCUUCGGGUUGUGAACCUCUUUCGCUCAUGGUCAAGCCGCAACAAUGGUUGUGGUGAGGGUAGUGGGCAAAGAAGCGCCGGCUAACUACGUG